UUAUUAUAUGACCAUGCUGGUCAUUUAUGAACAUUUGAACAUCUUGGCCAUGUUCUGUUAUAAUCUCCACCCGGCACAGCCAGAAGAGGACUGGCCACCCCACAUAGCCUGGUUCCUCUCUGGGCUGUACUGUUUUCACACCCCUCCUCCUAUGUGUGUGUAUGCCCUGGCUGGCUACUGUAAUAAUACCCAAACUAGAGUCCAGAGUACAAACCAGUGUUGUGCGAUUUGCCUUUCCGUCGGAGCAGUUCAACGGACAAUGAACUAGCGCCUGGGGGAGUCGGUGGAGUUUACAACAUCUUCAACCAGGCUGCAGUCAAUGGGAGACAGACUGGGCAGGGUGAUGCCUGGUUAUCCAAGCUCUCCCCUUCUUGGAAACCCCACCCCUCCCAUAACCCCAGGCAGUGUGAUGCCCCCUACAUGUCUCCUGGCCAUGACGUGAAGCCCACUUUCCUGCCUGACAUCAAGCCAAACACGAACUCCCUACCCCCACCACUCCCCACAGGGAAACCCAAACAUGACACACACACGUGCACACACUAGUGGUGUGUUUUCACCAAACUCACUUGUUGCAGAUAAAAAUCAGUGUGUGAUGACGUCGUGCACACAAAAUGUACCUUCUCACACCAUUUUAAUUAUUCUAAUGUUCAAUGUGUUUCCAUCACAUUUCCAACUCUACCAAUAGUUUUGUCACAACAUCUGUUGUGUUAAAUACCAAAUGUGCCUACUCUGGUCUUGGCACGUGCACUCUAGCCAACAUCUCGCAGAUACAGGCUAAUGGCUAGAAGGGAUCCAGCUUUUGUUGAAUUAAUGUCAGAUUUGACUUUUUGUAGCAGGUUGGGAGAAUCUAUGCAGCAGGUUAGCAGAAUGAACGUAGCAUAAUUAGGUUAAGGUUAGGAAAAUGUUUAGGGUUAGCUAAAAUGCUAAAACAAAAACGGAAGCCCUUAUAAGCCAUGACUCAGAUACAGUGCGGGUAAACUAGUCUACAUGAUGAGAUUAUGGAUCAGAGCAAGAUUUUUAUUUAUUUUUCAAAACGGCAGUCUAGCAUUGAUUAUUAUUAUACCAGAAUAAGAGCCUCGACAUUUAUUGGAAAGGAGCAUCAAGCUCAUACCAUGCACUUUCACCACCCUGUGAAGUUCAUCAUCAUUUAUUUAAUCUGUUGCCUAAUGGCCUAAACGGCAUUGUUUCCUGAGUUGAAGUGGGAGGACCACACACCAUGUCAUCACGUGACUCCAAGUCUAUUUCAAAUUAUUGUUAUUAUAUCAAUAUUUGCGCAUUAAUGCUUUUCCACCGCCAUUUCUUGCAUACCCUUACAAAAAAGUCCUACAGGAGUCCUGCAGGAAUUCAACCUUUUGUGAAGGAGUUGUGCAGGUGUCCUGCAGGAAUCCUGUAGGAUUGAAAAAAAUCCUGCAGGAAGUAUGAAUUGUCCUGCAGAAAUGUAGAAAAUCCUGCACAAACCUGACAAUUCCUGCAGGACCAAACCCAAAGUGGCUCCCGAGUGGUGCAGCGGUCUAAGGCACUGCAUCUCAGUGCAAGAGGUGUCACUGCAGUCCCUGGUUUGAAUCCAGGCUGCAAUCUAGAAGAAAAAGCAAGGCACACCUAUUAGGCGAGGUGCUGGCUAGCGGAGUGGAAAACUUGAAAAUAAAGGAGAGCCGCACACUCUAGGAGCUCAGAUGCAAAAAUGUAAUGUCCAACGUUUCGACAGCCAAGCUGUCAUCAUCAGGGUAUAAUCAAACACUGCGGCAUGACUCGUUUGUAUAGUGUCAAAAGACACAGGUGUCUGUGAUCAUGGCCAAGUGGGGCCUAAUAUCAUUGGUUAAAUAUCAAAUAUUAAAAUUGCAUACAAAGAGCAGCAUACAAAAAAACAAAUGGAUAGCAUACGAUCAUAGAUUCAUUUUAGACUACACAAGCUUACAAACAAUUACAAUGGUAAAGUCACAAUAAUCACAAGAAUGGCGUCAGAUCAAAGUCUACGUUGAGACCGAAAGGAGCAAGGGUCUUUAAAUUAAAGAUCUGGGCAGCCUCUCGUUUUAACAAUAAAUUAUCAAGGUCACCCCCUCUCCUAGGGAGGGUGACAUGUUCGGUGCCAAUAUAACGCAGAGACGAAAUCGAGUGGUUUGCUUCCAAAAAGUAGGCUGCAUCACAUCUGGCCAUGAUUGGGAGUCUCAUAGGGCAGCACACAAUUGGCCCAGUGUUGUCCGGGGUAGGCUGUCAUUGUAAAUAAAAAUGUGUUUUUAACUGACUUGCCUAGUUAAAUAAAGGUUCAAUUAAAAAAAAUAAAAACUGGCAAUUCCUAUGGCAAUUCCUGCAGGACCAAGUCAAUUCUAGGUUGAAUCCUGCAGAGCCAAAACCUGCAGGAUUUUGAUAUUCCUGUAGGAUAUGGCAAUUCCUGCAGGACCAAAUAUAUCCUGCAGGAAUCAUGCAAGUCUGAAACCUUCAGGAUUUUGAUAUUUGUACAGGAUAUGGCAAUACCCGCAGGACCAAGUACAUUCCUGCAGAAAGGCAAUUUCAAGUUAACUAAAGGAUUUGAGAUACAGUAUGCUGUGACAACAGAGAAAAUAGACUUUUGAAAUAUAAAGCAACAUCAGACAUUUCAGCAAAUGAGAAAUGUAACACAUGAAAAUGUCCACAUGCAAUAAAUAUAGUGUAUGCUAUUUUUAUUUGGUAGAUACCAACACAAUUGAUAACUUCAGUCAAUGUAAUUUAUAUGAAUGUGUAUAUCAUGCUGCCAGUUUAAGAAACACCUUAAUCCAUACUCUGAAUAAAUAAAUACAAUGUAAAAAAAGUUGUUUUCAGUUAAGUGGUUCAACCCUUUCUCAGUCUACCUCCCACUUCUGACACCAAUGUAAUGAAACAGGCAGGGAGCAUUAACCCAGAGAUGCAAACUAGUCACCUUUCGGA
ensembl:lncRNA